AACCGACUACCGUUGAAAAGUUAGCGGAUGACCUGUGGCUAGGGGAGAAAUUCCAAUCGAACACGGAGAUAGCUGGUUCUCCCCGAAAUAGCUUUAGGGCUAGCGUCGAGGCAAAGCGACUUGGAGGUAGAGCACUGAAUGUACGAUGGCCCCAUCCCGGGGUACUGAGUAUAAUCAAACUCCGAAUGCCAAGGAAGCAUACUCGGCAGUCAGACUGUGGGUGAUAAGGUCCAUGGUCGAGAGGGAAACAGCCCAGACCGCCAGCUAAGGUCCCAAAAUACAUGCUAAGUGGGAAAGGAUGUGGGGAUGCACAGACAACUAGGAGGUUGGCUCAGAAGCAGCCAUCCUUGAAAGAGUGCGUAACAGCUCACUAGUCGAGUGACCCUGCGCCGAAAAUGUACCGGGGCUAAGCAUGAUACCGAAGCUGCGGAUUUGAUGGAAAUCAAGUGGUAGGGGAGCGUUCCAUGUACGUAGAAGCCAUACCGUAAGGAGUGGUGGAGAGCAUGGAAGUGAGAAUGCCGGUGUGAGUAGCGAGAUGUAGGUGAGAAUCCUACACACCGAUAGCCCAAGGAUUCCAGGGGAAGGUUCGUCCGCCCUGGGUAAGUCGGGACCUAAGGCGAGGCCGAGAGGCGUAGUCGAUGGAAAGCAGGCAGAUAUUCCUGCACCUGCGAUGGGAGCGAGGGAGUGACGGAGAAGGCUAGUCUGACCCACUGAAUGGAUUGUGGGCGAAGCGUAUAGUAGGCUGAUAGUGAAAUGCGUCAGCAGGAUAUAAAGCGUGACAGGUAAGCGAACGGCUACGGCCAAGUAGCGAAGCAGAUGAUGCCAGCUUCCAAGAAAAGCUUCUAGCGAUAAUCCCAUAGCAGCCCGUACCAAAACCGACACAGGUGGGCAAGGAGAGGAUCCUGAGGUGAGCGAGAGAACUGUUGCCAAGGAACUCGGCAAAAUGACUCCGUACGUUAGCAAGAAGGAGUGCACGGAAGUGCCGCAGUGAAGAGGCCCAAGCGACUGUUUAACUAAAACACAGCUCUCUGCGAAGUCGAAAGACGAAGUAUAGGGGGUGACGCCUGCCCGGUGCUGGAAGGUUAAGAGGAGUCGUUAGGAGCGAUCCGAAGCGAUGAAUUGAAGCCCCAGUGAACGGCGGCCGUAACUAUAACGGUCCUAAGGUAGCGAAAUUCCUUGUCAGGUAAGUUCUGACCCGCACGAAAGGCGUAACGAUUUGGGCGCUGUCUCGGCAGCAGACUCGGUGAAAUCUUAGUACCUGUGAAAAUGCAGGUUACCCGCAACUAGACGGAAAGACCCCAUGGAGCUUUACUGCAGUUUGAUAUUGAACUUUGGUCAGUCAUGUACAGGAUAGGUGGGAGACGAGGAGACAUGCACGUCAGUGUAUGAGGAGUCGCUGUUGGGAUACCACCCUUGGUUGAUCGAAGCUCUAACCUGGUACCUGAGACAGGUAUGGGGACCGUGUCAGAUAGGCAGUUUGACUGGGGCGGUCGCCUCCCAAAGAGUAACGGAGGCGCCCAAAGGUACCCUCAGAUUGGAUGGAAACCAAUCGGCGAGUGCAAAUGCAGAAGGGUGCUUGACUGUGAGACAGACAAGUCGAACAGGGACGAAAGUCGGGAUUAGUGAUCCGGCGGUGCCGAAUGGAAGGGCCGUCGCUCAACGGAUAAAAGCUACCCUGGGGAUAACAGGCUGAUCUCCCCCAAGAGUCCACAUCGACGGGGAGGUU
rnacentral:rRNA from 1 species